rnacentral:lncRNA from 1 species
CUGUGGCUGGCCUGGUUCUAUUCCUGUCUCUAGCCACUUUACAUAGCUCUUAGUCCAGGGGUAGGAAAUUCCUGCCGUUGGGAACUGGCUUUCAUCCAUUAAUGUCACAAAUUGCCACAGUUCCCUGGCCUGAAUUUGUAGCUGAUUUGAGGCAGAAGGAUUGUGAGGGUAUUAGUGCAUCGUGAAAUGGAGUAGCUGUUCCCUGUAGUUCAAGAAUCCAUAGAGGCUGAAGUAUGAAAUGGCUCUGGAUGCAAGGCAUGGUGGCAGAGAGGAUCAAUUUCAUUUUCUAUGUACCUGAGGUUUACAGAAAGCUGAAACAAUGAAAUAUCUCUGCUUUGGCAUGUUGGGUAAGCUUAAUCUCAGAUGCUGGAGCAUUGCGGAAUGGACAAAAAGCAUAAGGGAUGAUGUCGAGGGGAGAAACUCUCUCACCUGGUUACCAUGGAAACGUGUCUUCUCCUUAUUCCAGUAUCAUCCCUAAGCCCAGAGAGACAGAGGUCCGUCUGAUCUCACAGAGAAGACAGACAGCAUGCAUUUUUAAAGCUGCUUCACCUGAUACAUUUACAACCCACAGGUAUCAUGCACACACCUUCCAUACACACCACACAAUGCUUCUGACUACGCUGAAACACCCCUCAAUGAUUGUCAUGUAUAAGUAAAUUAAUUGUUUAUUCAAUACUAUGGUUUAAUUCCCUGUGUCACAACAUUAUUUUCUACAACUGUAUCUUGGUCAUGGAUCUAUUCUUCGCUGUUACUCAGUGCACUACAUACAAUAGUUAUAAUAAUAUCGGUCACCCCUUGUCACGGCUUCCAUCGUGGAUAUGAAAGGACAACCAAGGCGCAGCGGAAGUGUGGACACUCAUGUUUCUUUAAUUUACAAAAAAAACAGGCAAAGUAUCCACCAAAAAACAAUAAACAGUACUUACACUGGUAACAGUGCGGCAGGCUCAAACCAACGCAGUGCACACAAACAAUUCCACACAACCCCCAGUGACAAACAACUCCUACAUAUAUGACUCCCAAUCAGGAACAACGAUUCCCAGCUGUUCCUGAUCAGGAGUCACAAGACACACACAAGACUGCCACGUCCUGACCCCCAAACUACUACACCAGCUCCAUCUGCUGGUCAGGACGUGACACCCCUGCACCAGUGUCACCCAGUUCUCAGCUCUACACAACUUCAAACUCUUACUGAAAACAUUUCACACACACACAGACACACAGACAACACUUCCCUUUCCAAACCAACACAUAGUCUACAAUUUGAGCAAAGCCCCUACUCUUCAUUACUACACGUGUACUACACUUAAAUUAGACCAGCUUCAAAAUGUCAUCACACAGAGGGAAUGUGCUGUUGGAACCACACAAGAUCUAUGUACAGUUUCUUAUUUGGUGAAUUAUAGUAGUUGUAUCAAAAGCUCAAAUAAAGAUGUUUGACCCUUGGGACCAGCUUGGAAGGAUUCACUUCCCUUUUUGGCAAUGUACUUUAUUCAUAUUAUUUUUCCAGGUCCUAUGUUACAUCUAGCUGUGGG